AAGGCUUGACAUGGGAAGUAGUAAUAUACUAAACAGAGAAAUCUGUUGAAUCACACAGGUGGUGCAUGUCGUCGUCAGUUCGUGCUNUGAAGCGUAUGCUUAAGUGCUAGAACGAACGCAACCCUCAUAUUUAGUUGCUACCAUUUAGUUGAGAACCCUAAAUAGACUGCCAGGGUAACCUGGAGGAAGGAGAGGAUGACGUCUGAUCAUCAUGCCCCUUAUGCCUUGGG
rnacentral:rRNA from 1 species